AACGCACCUUGCACCUCUUGGUAUUCCGAGAGGUACAUCUGUUUGAGUGUCAUGAAUCCCUCAACCUCUACACUUUCUUGUAAAGUGCGGAUGCGUUGGAUGCUGAGCGCUGCUGGUUUAUCACAGCUCGCUUCAAAUGUAUCAGCAAUCUCUGUACUGCUCGGAUUGACUUGACGUGAUAAGAUCUUCGUCGAGGAUGCUUCUAUAGCAGCCGGAAAGUACACGAGUCGCUACCAAACCUGCACUUGUGCAACCUUUAUAAUUUAGACCUCAAAUCAGAUGGGACUACCCGCUGAACUUAA
rnacentral:misc_RNA from 1 species